GAGUUUGAUCAUGGCUCAGAUUGAACGCUGGCGGCAGGCUUAACACAUGCAAGUCAAGCGGAGAGAGGUAGCUUGCUACUGAUCUUAGCGGCGGACGGGUGAGUAAUGCUUAGGAAUCUGCCUAUUAGUGGGGGACAACAUUUCGAAAGGAAUGCUAAUACCGCAUACGUCCUACGGGAGAAAGCAGGGGAUCUUCGGACCUUGCGCUAAUAGAUGAGCCUAAGUCGGAUUAGCUAGUUGGUGGGGUAAAGGCCUACCAAAGCGACGAUCUGUAGCGGGUCUGAGAGGAUGAUCCGCCACACUGGGACUGAGACACGGCCCAGACUCCUACGGGAGGCAGCAGUGGGGAAUAUUGGACAAUGGGCGCAAGCCUGAUCCAGCCAUGCCGCGUGUGUGAAGAAGGCCUUAUGGUUGUAAAGCACUUUAAGCGAGGAGGAGGCUACUUUAGUUAAUACCUAGAGAUAGUGGACGUUACUCGCAGAAUAAGCACCGGCUAACUCUGUGCCAGCAGCCGCGGUAAUACAGAGGGUGCAAGCGUUAAUCGGAUUUACUGGGCGUAAAGCGCGCGUAGGCGGCUAAUUAAGUCAAAUGUGAAAUCCCCGAGCUUAACUUGGGAAUUGCAUUCGAUACUGGUUAGCUAGAGUGUGGGAGAGGAUGGUAGAAUUCCAGGUGUAGCGGUGAAAUGCGUAGAGAUCUGGAGGAAUACCGAUGGCGAAGGCAGCCAUCUGGCCUAACACUGACGCUGAGGUGCGAAAGCAUGGGGAGCAAACAGGAUUAGAUACCCUGGUAGUCCAUGCCGUAAACGAUGUCUACUAGCCGUUGGGGCCUUUGAGGCUUUAGUGGCGCAGCUAACGCGAUAAGUAGACCGCCUGGGGAGUACGGUCGCAAGACUAAAACUCAAAUGAAUUGACGGGGGCCCGCACAAGCGGUGGAGCAUGUGGUUUAAUUCGAUGCAACGCGAAGAACCUUACCUGGCCUUGACAUAGUAAGAACUUUCCAGAGAUGGAUUGGUGCCUUCGGGAACUUACAUACAGGUGCUGCACGGCUGUCGUCAGCUCGUGUCGUGAGAUGUUGGGUUAAGUCCCGCAACGAGCGCAACCCUUUUCCUUAUUUGCCAGCGAGUAAUGUCGGGAACUUUAAGGAUACUGCCAGUGACAAACUGGAGGAAGGCGGGGACGACGUCAAGUCAUCAUGGCCCUUACGGCCAGGGCUACACACGUGCUACAAUGGUCGGUACAAAGGGUUGCUACCUAGCGAUAGGAUGCUAAUCUCAAAAAGCCGAUCGUAGUCCGGAUUGGAGUCUGCAACUCGACUCCAUGAAGUCGGAAUCGCUAGUAAUCGCGGAUCAGAAUGCCGCGGUGAAUACGUUCCCGGGCCUUGUACACACCGCCCGUCACACCAUGGGAGUUUGUUGCACCAGAAGUAGCUAGCCUAACUGCAAAGAGGGCGGUUACCACGGUGUGGCCGAUGACUGGGGUGAAGUCGUAACAAGGUAGCCGUA
rnacentral:rRNA from 1 species